rnacentral:tRNA from 1 species
GCCGGUGUGGCUCAGUGGUUGAGCGUUGACUUAUGAGUCAGGAGGUCAGGGUUCAAUUCCCGGUCAGGGCA